AGUACAGUAAGUAUCUGUUUGUGGUAGAAGAUGAGUCUCUGAAGCCUGGUCUUGAUGUGCUGAAAACGAUCCCAUGAAGUGCCCUGUGCCAGGAUCCAUGACACACAGGAAAGUUAUCAUUGAUUUGCUCAACUGAAGAGCAAUGGGAGACUGAGAGACUGCAGAGGUGUGACAAGGGAGGAACCAGCUUCUCUGCUGUAGUUGGCCUCCAGCUCCAUUCUGACCAUCUGAUCCUGGCCUGUUAACAAACACUGAUGUAUAUUACAGGCUUUGACCAGAUCUUCCCAGCAGGAUGAGAGCCAUCUUGUACUGUCACUUACUUCUAGAUCCCUGAUCGUCUGAUUGUGUCUCACUCUAUAGCCCUGGCUAUCCUGAGAGACUCUGUGUAGAACAUGCAGUUCUCAAACUCACAGUGAUGGACCCCUUCUCUACUUCCUGAGAUCAUCUUUUACAGAUGUGGAAUCCCAUGCCUGUCUUCAAGUGCUGGAUAGCAUCAAUGGUAAAUUCCUGCAAACAUUUGAGGCAGAAGAAGACAAUUCUGUGCUUCUUUCAUCCUGACAGGGUCAGGGAUUGAACUGAAGGUUCUGUUAUCCUGGAUGGACUACAAACAACAGCAAAUUCCAAUUCUAACCCUCAGAAUAGAAGUCCAUGUCCACCAGUGAACAGGUACCUGCAGGAUUCCCACUGCCGUCCAGGCACAAAUCCCGUGACUUCAACCUGUCCAAUCAGGAGAGUCCAGAUUGGGUACCUGGUCUGAUGGAUUGAGUUCUUUCCAUUUGAGCCAUGAGAUCACAGCUGAGGACUCAAGUGAUGAGCUCUAUACAUCAGGAGACACUGGGUGGCGAUCUGAGGUGUGGCCUGAGACAGCAGAAGUAGGAGCUCUGCAGGAAGUCCAGAUGGCAGUGUGCCCACUUCCCCAGCAUAGAGGGUCUCUGUCCAGCACAGGAGGAGGAAAGUGACAGCAAGCUGGAGGAAAAUGUGUACCACAUCGAUGGAAUGCAGAGAAUUUGCUCCACUUUUGAAUUCUGCAGGUUCUGGUGGAUAUGUUCAGACAAACCUCAUCUUCACCAUAUGUGCAUCCUGUGUCAUCUAGGCAAG